UUCUUUCUCGUCCGCCAUAACUCCCUCAAACGCGAACGCCUCGAUCUGAGGAGAAUCGUUCGGGUCUGAGGGAAAGCGGGCCCCCUUUUCCAUCCAACUCCCUUUCAACCUUGUCAAAGCAGAGAGGGGCAACCCCUGGACGCCCCCACACACGUUAACAGUUGGUACUUAUUAAUUGGGCUGAGUCCCUGCCCACCCCCUCCCCUUCUUUCUCGGCCUCCCACCCUCUCUCCCCCGUUUUCUCUCUCAACACAGCGCCAUUCAAGCAGAUAGGCUACCCCUUUACCCACGACUGUCUGGGGCCAGAAAUCCCCCGGAUCAGUUUAAACCCGGCGAAAGGGCCACCCCGUAGCGGCUUCAAACCUCUAAUGGCUUCCUUUCGUCGAACGAGCGGCUCAUCCUUCCCGACAUCUCCUCAGCGUCAAAGAAAAGCCAAUUUUCUCUUUGUCAUAGUGGGAAUGGAAAUAUAAUCAUGGAGCCCUUCACCUUCAGGCAGACAGAUGGGAAGGAAAAGGAGAAAGGAAGCAGGAGAAAGGCUGCUGUCUGAGUUGACAGAGCUAGAAACAAC